UACGUAGGGCGCAAGCGUUGUCCGGAAUUAUUGGGCGUAAAGAGCUCGUAGGCGGUUUGUCGCGUCUGCUGUGAAAACCUGAGGCUCAACCUCGGGCUUGCAGUGGGUACGGGCAGACUAGAGUUCGGUAGGGGAGUCUGGAAUUCCUGGUGUAGCGGUGAAAUGCGCAGAUAUCAGGAGGAACACCGGUGGCGAAAGCGGACUUCUGGGUUGUUACUGACGCUGAGGUACGAAAGCGUGGGGAGCAAACGGG
rnacentral:rRNA from 1 species